CACAGUGUUUUUGUGUUGAAGGCGGUUUUGGUGUUCACUUGGCGAUCGUCCCGGCCAUAGCUAGUGCUAGUACGCUCAUAGCACGAUCGUAGCGCUGAGAGGGUGAUCGUCCACACUGGACUGAGAACAUCGUCCAGACUCUACGGGAGGCAGCAGUAGGGAUUUCGGCAAUGAACGAAAGUCUGACGGAGGCGACGCCGCGUGAGGGGAAGAAGGCUUUCGGGUCGUAAAGCUCUGUUGUGAGGGACGACGAGCGCCGUUUGAAUCACGGCGGCGCGGUGACGGUACCUCACGAGAAAGCCCGGCUAACUACGUGCCAGCAGCCGCGGUAAUACGUAGGGGGCGAGUGUUGUCCGGAAUUAUUGGCGUAAAGCGCGCGCAGGCGGUCCUUUAUGUCUGAUGUGAAAGCCCACGGCUCAACCGUGGAGGGUCAUUGGAAACUGGGGGACUUGAGUGCAGGAGAGGAGAGCGGAAUUCCACGUGUAGCGGUGAAUUGCGUAGAGAUGUGGAGGAACACCAGUGGCGAAGGCGGCUCUCUGGCCUGUAACUGACGCUGAGGCGCGAAAGCGUGGGGAGCAAACAGGAUUAGAUACCUUGGUAGUCCACGCCGUAAACGAUGAGUGCUAAGUGUUAGAGGGGUCACACCCUUUAGUGCUGCAGCUAACGCGAUAAGCACUCCGCCUGGGGAGUACGGCCGCAAGGCUGAAACUCAAAGGAAUUGACGGGGGCCCGCACAAGCGGUGGAGCAUGUGGUUUAAUUCGAAGCAACGCGAAGAACCUUACCAGGUCUUGACAUCCCCUGACAACCCAAGAGAUUGGGCGUUCCCCCUUCGGGGGGACAGGGUGACAGGUGGUGCAUGGUUGUCGUCAGCUCGUGUCGUGAGAUGUUGGGUUAAGUCCCGCAACGAGCGCAACCCUUGCCUCUAGUUGCCAGCAUUCAGUUGGGCACUCUAGAGGGACUGCCGGCUAAAAGUCGGAGGAAGGUGGGGAUGACGUCAAAUCAUCAUGCCCCUUAUGACCUGGGCUACACACGUGCUACAAUGGGCGGUACAAAGGGCUGCGAACCCGCGAGGGGGAGCGAAUCCCAAAAAGCCGCUCUCAGUUCGGAUUGCAGGCUGCAACUCGCCUGCAUGAAGCCGGAAUCGCUAGUAAUCGCGGAUCAGCAUGCCGCGGUGAAUACGUUCCCGGGCCUUGUACACACCGCCCGUCACACCAGGAUAGCUUGCAACACCCGAGAUUGGUAGUUGCCCAGUAAGUAGAAGAACAAGCAGAGAGACUACCUUUUAUUCC
rnacentral:rRNA from 1 species